CAGUAGCCGCGGGAAUACGUAGGUGGCAAGCAUUGUCCGGAAUUAUUGGGCGUAAAGGGCUCGCAGGCGGUUUCUUAAGUCUGAUGUGAAAGCCCCCGGCUCAACCGGGGAGGGUCAUUGGAAACUGGGAAACUUGGGUGCAGAAGAGGAGAGUGGAAUUCCACGUGUAGCGGUGAAAUGCAUAGAGAUGUGGAGGAACACCAGUGGCGAAGGCGACUCUCUGGUCUAUAACUGACGCUGAGGUGCGAAAGCGUGGGGAGCGAACAGGAUUAGAUACCCCAGUAGUCCCUGUCUCUUAUAC
rnacentral:rRNA from 1 species